AAGUCGUAACAAGGUUUCCGUAGGUGAACCUGCGGAAGGAUCAUUACAACGUAUCCACGUAUAAACAAACGCGAACAGUCCUUUGGACGCGUAAACCAGAACAAGCUGGCAUGAAGUUAACCGGUCGAACUGCUAAUUAAUGCGCUUCGUAGAUGGAGCUUUGCUUGGAGCCCAAAGAGUAUUUCCCACCAUCGGGAAGCCUACUUAUUGUACCUUUUCAUUAACCCUUUGUAAAAUUUGAACUGAACUUGGUAAACACUGCGGCUUUCCUCGCUGGCUUCGGUCACGGAAGGCACUAACGCGGUGCUUUUACUCUAUAUUACGAAAUAAGAACAACUCUUAACAACGGAUAUCUUGGUUCUCGUAACGAUGAAAAACGCAGC
rnacentral:misc_RNA from 1 species